rnacentral:rRNA from 1 species
UACGGAGGAUGCAAGCGUUGUCCGGAAUCAUUGGGCGUAAAGCGCGUGUAGGCGGCUUGGUAAGUCCGUUCUGAAAGUCCAAGGCUCAACCUUGGGAUGCGGAUGGAUACUGCUGAGCUCGAGUCCGGAAGAGGCGAGUGGAAUUCCCGGUGUAGCGGUGAAAUGCGUAGAUACUAUCCAGAACACCGAUUGCGAAGGCAGCUUACUAGACUGUGACUGACGCUGAGGCACAAAAGCGUGGGGAGCGAACAGG